rnacentral:rRNA from 1 species
AUUGAACGCUGGCGGCAAGCCUAACACAUGCAAGUCGAACGAGUGGCGGACGGGUGGGUAAUGUCUGGGAAACUGCCUGAUGGAGGGGGAUAACUACUGGAAACGGUAGAUAAUACCGCAUACCAUCGGAUGUGCCCAGAUGGGAUUAGCUAGUAGGUGGGGUAAAGGCUCACAUAGGCGACGAUCCCUAGCUGGUCUGAGAGGAUGAACAGCCACACUGGAACUGAGACAGGGUCCAGACUCGUACGGGAGGCAGCAGUGGGGAAUAUUGCACAAUGGGCGCAAGCCUGAUGCAGCGAUGCCGCGUGUAUGAAGAAGGCCUUCGGGUUGUAAAGUACUUUCAGCGGGGAGGCGUUACCCGCAGAAGAAGCACCGGCUAACUCCGUGCUAGCAGCCGCGGUAAUUC